GCCCGGCCUGUGCCGUGGGAGCCUGCGGGAGCUGGGGCCCGGUGGCUGUCUCUGGUUCGUCUCCAUCCCUAGCCGCAGCUCUGUGCUGUGCCUUUUCUCUCCUGGAUCUCUCCCUUGGUCUUCUGCACUCUUAGGGAGGAAUUCUGAAGGACUGUGCCACCUUCUCUUGACAAAGUUCAACAGUUGCCUUCUUUUGUGUCCUCCUCAUCCAAUUCGGACUCCAUACUGUCAACACUUAAGCCUCCUGGGCCCUCCCUGCCGCAGUUGCAGCCCCCAAAUAACACACAAGACACUAUAUUAAUAAUGAAGCUGUUGGGGCUGGAGAGAUGGCUCAGAGGUUAAGAGCACUGACUGCUCAUCCAGAGGUCCUGAGUUAAAUUCCCAGCAACC